AGUGCUUUGUUGAGAACUGCCACCGCUGAUAUGAUAUCUCACAAUGUAAGGAUCAGGUCGGAUUUAUACCUGGACACCAAGAGGCAACCAGCAAGCACAGGGCAAUGGACCAGAUCUAUUCAGCAAACAGUGUGAGGGUUCCCGCUAUGGUGAUGCCCCUGGAUGAAACAUGGCCAUUUCCCCUGCUCCUGAUAUCCCAUGGACAUCCAUUAAGAGAUCUGCUGCACAAACUGAACUGCAAGAGGCUUGAGGUAUCAUUUGGACCCUAACAAGUGGACCUAAAUUAGGGACUGAACAGCCUAAAGUUCCAUACAGGACGUGUCGGGAUACAACAAAGAGAGAGAGAGAGAUUAUUAUUAUCGGAGAUUUGUAUGGCACCACAGAGCUCUGCAGUUCCGGACACUAGAGAAGAACAGGACUCACAUGAAACAGGGACAUACAAUGUAGAUAAAAUAAAUGAAGACAUGAAAACAAAUGGUAAGGAGAACCCUGCCCAGGGGCAAAUGCAGGAUUUCUAGAUGGGGGUUUCCAAAUGCAAACCACAAUCUCCCACUCUGCAGAACCUUGGGGCAAGUGCGGGAGUCAUGGGGAACGGUAGAAGAACCUAGUAUUGACCUUGGACACUAAUGUACACAUUGUUUUUUUUCUACACUGGAUAGUCUAUGGCACAGGUUCUCAAACUCGGUCCUUAGGACCCCACACAGUGCAUGUUUUGCAGGUAACCCAGCAGGAGCACAGGUGUAUUAAUUACUCACUAACACAUUUUAAAAGGUCCACAGGUGGAGCUAAUUAUUUCAGUUGUGAUUCUGUGAGGAGACCUGCAAAACAUGGUAUUAAUAUUUAACACUAUAGGUAGUCUAUAGUAUAGGCUGUAUCAAACAUAUUUAACUAAUAUAAAUAACAUAAGUGGUCAGGAAAAGGUUAAACAUACCAUAAUAAAUAAUAAAUACACAAACAUAAUAGAACCAGUAGGAGACAGAACUACAAUUUCUAAGCUCACAUUCUCCCACCUCAUGGUAAAGCUCCUGUCUCUUCUUCCUGGCAGAUACUCUCUGGUCCAGUGCACUGAUUGAGUGCUCAGAUCCACCAACACAGCAAACUUGGUAGAAGAAGCUGCUACACUGUGCAGUUCUAGUAAUCGUAUUAUAUACUAUUGCUAUUAUCAUAAUUUGAGCUAAGAGGAGGGGAGGGGGGGGGGGUUCCAGGCAACCAGAAACCCACACUGCGUUUACCUAUGCUGCCCAUGCAGUGCUUACAUUCUGUUUGAAAGAGGGAACAGCUGACACAAGUGGAGCAAGUAAAGUUAAGAGUGGAAAUCGAGACAAUUACUACAGUGGAUUGGUGUGGGUAGAAUUAGGUUGAAGUUGGGUAAGGUCUGAUAAAAUGAUGGUUGGGUUAUCAGAAAUUUGGAGACUGUGAGAGAGUUUAGUUGGGUGUGGUAAACAAUUACAUAAUUGGGUACCAACACGGGAGAAGUCGUAUAGGCAGGUGCAUGUCAUAGGUAGCUGUUGUGGGGUUUGAGAUGUAUGGAUGGGUGAUGUUGUGAAUGUCUGAAGGUGUGAAUCGGAUUCUGGAGGACACAGGGAGCCGGUGUACGGAUCUGCAAGGUGGUUCAGCAGAUGAGAGAGGCAACAUAGGUACAUAGUUUUGCUGCGCCAAUUACAAUGGACUGAAUUGGAGGAUGAUAAAGACAGAUAGCAGGAGGUUGCACUAGUCAAGGCGGGAGAUGAUGAGAGACUGGAUUACAGUUUUGGAAGUAUCUUGAAUAAGAUAAGGGCACAUUCUGAUAAUGGGGCUGAUUCUGAGUUGGGAUCAAAGCAAAGAAAAACAAAACAUAUUGCUCUGUAAAGGGUACAGAUACAUUUAUUUAUUCAUUUGUUUGAGACUUGGGGGUAAUUAACUAAAUAUUCUAAAACAGACAAGAAGUGGAGUUGACCCUAGCAACAGUAAUCUGUCACCUUGUUACUGUAAGAUAAUUUCCAUGUCUUUAAAAUGUUUUAUUGGUAUUUAAAAGAUUCAGU